GGAGUGGGACACUGUGGCUUGCAGGACGUGAAAGUGUCUGGAGGCUUUUUCAAACUGUUUGAGAGCACUUUGCACACUAUCACAGUCAAUAAGAUUCCAAGGCUUAAGCGUGUCAUAUUCAUCGCUACUGACUUGGAUGUUAGCAAUAGACUGAGCUGCUAGGUCAGUUCAACAGUUUGUGGGUCAAUUGUGUAUGAAGCAGGAUUUUUUCUCCUCCUUUGUGCCCCAGACUGAAAGUUGCAGCCUGGCCAUAGGGUGAAGAAAGGCACCUGCACAACUGGAAGAAGACAAAGGAAAAAACCGUGAUCGAGUUUUCUCUCUUGUUGUAGUCAUCUCAUGCUCGUGCAUUCCUCUCGUGAGGCAGAAGGGAAACAAGCAGCACUGCCCUCUUUCCUAGUGUAAGACACUGUCAUUUUGCCCAAUUGUGACCAAGCAACUAUCUCAAGAGCACUGAGCUGAACAUAUCAUCCCAUUACUCCCAUUCAUCCAUCCAGUGCCACCAGGCUAAUUGGCCUGGAAACUGGGAUCAGGAU